AGAGUUUGAUCCUGGCUCAGGAUGAACGCUGGCGGCGUGCCUAAUACAUGCAAGUCGAACGGAGAUUAUAUAGCAAUAUGUAAUCUUAGUGGCGAACGGGUGAGUAACGCGUUGGUGACCUGCCCCGAAGAGAGGGAUAACAGUUCGAAAGGAUUGCUAAUACCUCAUGUGGUCACAGGAAUUAGAUGCCCUAUGACUAAAGGAGUAAUUCACUUCGGGAGGGACCUGCGUCCCAUCAGCUAGUUGGUAAGGUAACGGCCUACCAAGGCGACGACGGGUAGGGGACCUGAGAGGGUGGCCCCCCACACUGGCACUGAAACACGGGCCAGACACCUACGGGUGGCAGCAGUAGGGAAUAUUGCAAAAUGGGCGAAAGCCCGAUGCAGCAACGCCGCGUGCGCGAUGAAGGCCUUCGGGUCGUAAAGCGCUUUUUAGAGGGAUGAGGAAGGACAGUACCUCUAGAAUAAGUCUCGGCUAACUACGUGCCAGCAGCCGCGGUAAAACGUAGGAGGCGAGCGUUAUCCGGAUUUACUGGGCGUAAAGCGCGUGCAGGCGGUUUGGUAAGUUGGAUGUGAAAGCUCCUGGCUCAACUAGGAGAGGUCGUUCAAUACUACCAGACUAGAGGUCGGUAGAGGAAGGUGGAAUUCCGGGUGUAGUGGUGAAAUGCGUAGAUAUCCGGAGGAACACCAGUGGCGAAAGCGGCCUUCUGGACCGAUCCUGACGCUCAGACGCGAAAGCUAGGGUAGCAAACGGGAUUAGAGACCCCGGUAGUCCUAGCCGUAAACUAUGUGGACUUGGCGUCGGUGGGUUUAAAUCCAUCGGUGCCGUAGCUAACGCGUUAAGUCCACCGCCUGGGGACUACGGCCGCAAGGUU
rnacentral:rRNA from 1 species